rnacentral:rRNA from 1 species
AGUGAACGCUGGCGGUAGGCCUAACACAUGCAAGUCGAACGGCAGCACAGUAAGAGCUUGCUCUUACGGGUGGCGAGUGACGGACGGGUGAGGAAUACAUCGGAAUCUACUUUUUCGUGGGGGAUAACGUAGGGAAACUUACGCUAAUACCGCAUACGACCUACGGGUGAAAGCAGGGGAUCUUCGGACCUUGCGCGAUUGAAUGAGCCGAUGUCGGAUUAGCUAGUUGGCGGGGUAAAGGCCCACCAAGGCGACGAUCCGUAGCUGGUCUGAGAGGAUGAUCAGCCACAUUGGAACUGAGACACGGUCCAGACUCCUACGGGAGGCAGCAGUGGGGAAUAUUGGACGAUGGGCGCAAGCCUGAUCCAGCCAUACCGCGUGGGUGAAGAAGGCCUUCGGGUUGUAAAGCCCUUUUGUUGGGAAAGAAAAGCAGCAGGUUAAUACCCCGCUGUUCUGACGGUACCCAAAGAAUAAGCACCGGCUAACUUCGUG